AGGCAACCAGUUUGCAAAUUAUGAUUGCAUUCAUGGUGUUAAUGUGUCCAGAUACUAACCUCCUGUUUUUCUAAUUCGCUGAGAAGAAAUGGUCAUUCCUUCCUUUGCUGAAGCGAGUCAAGUAACGCAGGAGUACAUU
rfam:Picea glauca, whole genome shotgun sequence.